AAUCCUUCGGGGCGCACCUCUCAAUGUGCACGUGCUGCUCCUGCUUCGGGCCGAUGACGUCGGGAAUGCUCAUCGACUUGAGCGCGAAGAAAUGCUUGUCCGUCUUCUCCUUCACCGGCUGAUUCACAACUCAAGUAGCACAGUGAGGGUGGACAAUUGGGACUGCCUAAGCAUCCCAGCAUCGCCUGUUCUACAUAUCACUGUUCCCAGUGGCAUGCUGCUGUGUUUGUGAAUCCAGCCUCCCACAGUGGGAAGUGUAGAGAGCUGUUGAGCCCUGUUUCCAAAUCCCCAGGUGAAGCUGCGCUGACAGGCCUUCUGUCCAUACAGCCCUUUCCAAGACUCAGCUAUUCGUGAUCACCCCCAAAUGUUACCCUGAUUCUAUUACCAAUUUGUAAUAAAACUCACUUGUAUGGUGGAA